AUACGGCCAUAUCAGGUUGAAACACCGGUUCCUGUACGACCACCGAACUUAAGUAGCGUCAAGCCUGUCAGUACCUAGAUGGCUGACCGCUUGGGAAUACCAAGUGCUGUAAG